rnacentral:rRNA from 1 species
CCUACGGGAGGCAGCAGUAAGGAAUAUUGGUCAAUGGAGGCAACUCUGAACCAGCCAUGCCGCGUGCAGGAAGACGGCCCUAUGGGUUGUAAACUGCUUUUGAACUAGAGAAAACCUUGGUACGUGUACCGAGUUGAUAGUAUAGUUAGAAUAAGCAUCGGCUAACUUCGUGCCAGCAGCCGCGGUAAGACGAAGGAUGCAAGCGUUAUCCGGAUUCAUUGGGUUUAAAGGGUGCGUAGGCGGACUGAUAAGUCAGUGGUGAAAUCUCUCAGCUUAACUGAGAAACUGCCAUUGAUACUGUUAGUCUAGAGUACAGAUGAUGUGGGCGGAAUAUGACAUGUAGUGGUGAAAUACUUAGAUAUGUCAUAGAACACCGAUUGCGAAGGCAGCUCACAAAACUGUAACUGACGCUGAGGCACGAAAGUGCGGGGAUCAAACAGGAUUAGAUACCCUGGUAGUCCGCACCGUAAACGAUGAUUACUCGUUGUUGGUCGAUAUGACAGUCAGCGACCAAGCGAAAGCGAUAAGAAUCCACCUGGGGAGUACGCCGGCGAACGGUGAAACGUCAAAUGAAUUGACGG